CCUACGGGAGGCAGCAGUGAGGAAUAUUGGUCAAUGGGCGCGAGCCUGAACCAGCCAAGUAGCGUGAAGGAUGACUGCCCUACGGGUUGUAAACUUCUUUUGUAAAGGAAUAAAGUGAGGCACGCGUCCCUUUUUGUAUGUACUUUAUGAAUAAGGAUCGGUUAACUCCGUGCCAGCAGCCGCGGUAAUACGGAGGAUCCGAGCGUUAUCCGGAUUUAUGGGGUUUAAAGGGAGCGUAGAUGGGUUGUUAAGUCAGUUGUGAAAGUUUGAGGCUCAACCGUAAAAGUGCAAUUGAUACUGGCAGCCUUGAGUACAGGUGAGGUAGGCGGAAUGCGUGGUGUAGCGGUGAAAUGCUUAGAUAUCACGAAGAACUCCGAUUGCGAAGGCAGCCUACUAAACUGCCACUGACAUUGAUGCUCGAAAGUGUGGGUAUCAAACAGGAUUAGAUACCCUAGUAGUC
rnacentral:rRNA from 1 species